UUUUUCAGCAGUGGAAAUAUUCAGCAAGGACAUCAAUCGAUCGAGAGACAAAAUGGGUAUGAAGAAUACCCAGAGAUUACUGCUCAGAUACAGCUCACCCUGGCCGAUCUAGAUGCAAACCUGGCAGGCCAUCUCCCUUGUCUGCUGAUUGGCUCUGGAAGCUGUCAGUCAUCAGUAAUCAAUGUGACACCGACCUAUCCAGUGCCAGUCACGUUUCCACCGGCAGAUAAAAGGACGUGCAAGGAAGUGAACCGACAUCUUUUGCUUCCUGGGGUUUUGCUGUUAUGUUACUUGUUUCUUGAUUUGAUUUGUUUCUUUGUUUAUACCAAAUUUCAAUUUGUUUGUUUUGACAUUUUUCUUUUGACCCUUACCUCUUUUUUGAUUUGCCAUUUUGUUUGUUUUAGUCACUUUGUGACUUGGAUGGCGUUGCUCUCUGAGUUUUGCUGAGCUUAGGCUCUAGGACGUUUACUCUUUACCCAAGAGGAAGGUGGAUAGGAAAGAUGUCGUGCGACUUCCAUUGUGCAACAUUUAGGUAACUCGAUCUGUUUAGACACCCUAGGUAAGAGGUAAACGCCACCCCCUGUAUGUUUGGUUUCUAUUAGUUGAGGAUAGGGAAGUAUAUGGCGCUUGGGCUGAAGAUUUGCUUUCUUUUCUUUAGUUAGGUUAGAGGUUUAAAAUAAGUUAGAAGUGUUUGUUUCUUUCUUUCUUUUGGCGUCACUAGUGUCCUCUUUCUCUUGGGUUGAUUUUGUAUUGUUCUUUUGUUUGUUUUCUGAGUUGUAAAUAUUUGUACAUAUUGGUUGUCUCUUUAAUGAUAUAUAUUCUUAUAAAUAUUUUGGUAGUUAUUUGGAUUUUCACUUUGUACAAUAAAUCACAUUUGUUUGCAACUGGUGUCUCUGCAUUGUAUCUUGCUGCCUCCUUCAGUUUUACAGUUUUACCACAAAAAUUUGAAUGUUACUCCUUUUACUUUUACUUUUAGUAACAUACUGAAAGGGAACUUUAGCUUUCAUCAUAGUCGAAAAAUUUUACAAAAGUAGUUAAGGUAAGCUG
ensembl:lncRNA